GUCUUACAGAGAUCCUAGAAAUGAUUUAUUAAUGAGACCUAGAUUUUUUCCCUGGUUGUAAUGUAGGGAGAUCUUAAUAAGCAAUGAAUUGCUGUGUCUGCAAUCACUUCUGAGAGGCUUAGAAGGAAAAUAAUAAUACUACGACUAAUAUGAUUGCUCUCCUUACACUGCCAUCCGGUGGAUGCAAAUUUCAUUUCCUUUUGUAAAUGGAAAGGGAAAUUCUCCUACUGAUAUCACAGCUUGCAAACUUGCACCAAGCUGACUCUUACUUGUAAUGUAAUUUCCAGGCCAGUGAGGAAAAUGUUGGUUAUUCUUUAAUUUUAGUUGUUUCAUAUUAGGAAAAAGCUUUCCAGUCUCUUAUCUACAAAAAAACCCCAUCAUCUACGAAGGAAUAGGAAGUAAACCUGCCUGGAUCUUCAAAAAGGGCUUUGAAAACCUCCCACUCUCUGCUCUCAAUAUCUGGCAUGGAGAGCCCAAGCCACUGAGCACUGCUGCUCCGGAUGCUUUUGGAAAAUGAAGGUUGAGCUGCUCUUUUGAUUUUCAGACAAUCAGUGUGUGGGCUAGAAACAGCAGAGCCUUGGGUCAGAUGCAGCACCGCAUUUUUGGCUUGGGGUGGGGAGGCAGGAGGCCAGGAUUUAACUCUCUGCUUUUUCCCCCUAGGACUGAUAACUGAAAUGGUUAGAAGGAGCAAGUUAUGGUGCUCACAGACUCCUACCUGCUGGUCUGCAAAUGGGACUUCACCACACUGAGCUGCAAAUCUCGCCCACCAUGGUUGGCCUCUUCACCAUCCUGGCAAAAUCUGGAGACGGUGACCAGCAUCCCACCAUGCCAAGGAGGUCAAUUGAAGUUUAGCUGCCGACUUCGUGAACAGGAUUUCAACCCAUGUCUGCGAUUAGUGAUGAAAUGAAAUCCACGGCUUGAAAUCAUUUAUCCAGCACAUCCGAUCAAACACAAACAUCUCCGUGCUUGAAAAUAAAUGAGGGUUGGAGCCAGCUAGGCUGCUGCA
rnacentral:lncRNA from 1 species